UAAGAAAAGUGUGUCACAAAAAAAAGGUUGUAAUUUGCAGCGUUUAGUAAAAUAUCGCAAGUCGGCGCAACGUGGCGGCAGAGAAAAGCCCGCGGAUGAGACGGGAUGAAGACAAAGCACCUGCAGCCAAACUCUGCAGGAGGUUUUUCCAGCAGGUGCGCGCCCUCCCCAAAAAACCCUUUAAAAGGAUCUGACCGUGCCCGUCUCAAGCUCUUGCCCCCGUGUCUUAGAGCCGCCAAGACUCUCACUGAGCUAAAGGCCCGGCGUGUGGCGGGGCGUCUUGGCACUUGCUUUGUGCCGUGCCAAUAAAAGCUGACACCCAGUAGACCAUUACUGGCAGCCAUGCAUGAGAUGGGAUGAGGCGCGCGCAAGAAGAGUGGACCAUUCAUUGUUUAUUUAUUUCAUUCUCACUGAGGAUGCUGAUGGAGGAGGGAGGGGAGCGAGCGGAGGGGCACCCCUCACUCGUAUAUUGGACGGCUCCCCUUCUGUCACCUAUGGCACGCCGAGGCAGCCCAUGAAAUUAACACAACUUAGUUUCUUAUCCGCGCCAUGACUCGUCCUCUCCAAUCUUUUUUAUUUUUAUUUUUUUCUUCCUCUUCUGUAGCAAGUCUCCUUCGUGGCAAAGCGACUUUUUCGACAUCAUCAAGUGCGCAUAUAUCGGGACAUGUAUCAAAGGCUAUUUAAGCAUUUAUUCAACAUAUCCAGUUUACCCUCCCGAAUGACCCGAACUGACUAGUAGAAGAAUGUCAGUUACUUCCAAGUAACUCUAUGAUAUUUCUGCAUACUAAUAGGACAACUAUGAGUUCAUUUUGAGGCAAAAACUGUACGGGAAAUGGCAUCUAUGCGCUAUAUGUUCACUGGUACAAUUUCAUGAUGUCACGAGCAGUAGCGUAGCACAUAGUUGCCAACUAGCACACAGCUUUGAGUAACUGGUAACAUAGCUGUCCGAGUGUGACAAAGUCGUCCGAGAGUGUACAGAAAUGUCGUACAGUAAUUGGACAUCCAGUGGUGGAAAAAAAAAACAUUCCUGGUAAAACGCAACCAUUCUACUUGUGCACUGAAAUGUCCAACUGGUGUGGACAUAGAGCGCACUUCUACAUGGAUCUUAAGAUCGAUAUAAAGUAUGUUGAUUGCAUUUUAAAUUGGCUUUCCAUAGACUUGUCGGCGAUAAGAUGCAUGAUUUUUU